rnacentral:pre_miRNA from 1 species
ACACGCAGCAGCGUGUUCUUUGUAUAUAUAUAUAUAUAUAUAUAUAUAUAUAUAUAUACAAAGAACACGCAGCAGCGUGU